GGGCUUGACAUCCCACGAACCUGCCCGAAAAGGUGGGGUGCCCGCAAGGGAGCGUGGAGACAGGUGGUGCAUGGCUGUCGUCAGCUCGUGUCGUGAGAUGUUGGGUUAAGUCCCGCAACGAGCGCAACCCUCACCCCUAGUUGCCACCGGGUUAAGCCGAGCACUCAAGGGGAACUGCCAGCGUCAAGCUGGAGGAAGGCGGGGAUGACGUCAAGUCAUCAUGCCCCUUACGCCCUGGGCUACACACGUGCUACAAUGGCCAGUACAAAGGGACGCGAGACUGCGAAGUGGAGCUAAUCCCAAAAAGCCGGUCUAAGUUCAGAUUGCAGUCUGCAACUCGACUGCAUGAAGGAGGAAUCGCUAGUAAUCGCGUAUCAGCCCGGCGCGGUGAAUACGUUCCCGGGCCUUGUACACACCGCCCGUCACACCACGAAAGCUGUCUGUACUCGAAGUCGCUGAG
rnacentral:rRNA from 1 species